rnacentral:rRNA from 1 species
GACGAACGCUGGCGGCGUGCUUAACACAUGCAAGUCGAACGGAAAGGCCCUGCUUUUGUGGGGUGCUCGAGUGGCGAACGGGUGAGUAACACGUGAGUAACCUGCCCUUGACUUUGGGAUAACUUCAGGAAACUGGGGCUAAUACCGGAUAGGAGCUCCUGCUGCAUGGUGGGGGUUGGAAAGUUUCGGCGGUUGGGGAUGGACUCGCGGCUUAUCAGCUUGUUGGUGGGGUAGUGGCUUACCAAGGCUUUGACGGGUAGCCGGCCUGAGAGGGUGACCGGCCACAUUGGGACUGAGAUACGGCCCAGAAUCCUACGGGAGGCAACAGGGGGGAAUAUUGCACAAUGGGCGGAAGCCUGAUGCAGCGACGCCGCGUGCGGGAUGACGGCCUUCGGGUUGUAAACCGCGUUCGCCUGUGACGAAGCGUGAGUGACGGUAAUGGGUAAAGAAGCACCGGCUAACUACGUG